UGCAACUGGAAAAGGAAUAUCAAGACUAGCUUCUGCAGAUGUAUGAUCAUUAUGAUGAACAAAAUAACUUUGGAGCAGAUCAACCAAUUUUUAUCAUUAGCCCCAAAAACAAAAAGUCACUGGGCAUUUCAUUUGAUGUUGCAAGGGUGCACCAAGUACUAAAGAGGAAGGGUUUAACAGGGAAAAGAGGUCAAAGAGUUAAGGUUUUCAAGGGAGCAUGUGCUGGAGUUCAUAAAAACAAUAUCUAUGCAACAAUAGAUUAUUUUUUAAUUGAAGGUCUUCGUGGGGAUGCUGCUGGUAGGCACUGGUUUUAAGACUCUUAGACUUAUAGACCAUGACUAUUAGUUUGCUUUUUAUCAUUUCGUAAUAGGACAAAUGUAUUGUUGACAUGUUUACAUAAUUUAAUCUUCUUGCAAAUUUGAUAAAUUUCACCCUCCCUUUUUUACAUUUCUAAUAGGUGAUGCUCGAAUUAUAUGCAGGUAUGCUAUCUUGUGCAUUUGUGGCUCUAAAAGUUCUAUUUUUAGUGUAUAAAUAUAAUCCUUGUACUUGUUGUUUCACAAACAUGUGAUGUCUAAUAUCUUUUAUUGUCUGAAAGGCCAAUAGGUCUCAUGGAUAAGGAAGGAUGUGUCCUCGUGGAGAACAAUGGGACUGAUAGCUUGGAUAUUUUUGGCAACUUAUUGUUACCUAUUGGCAUAAUUGAUUUUGGAAAAGUUUUCCAUUUAGUUUCAA